rnacentral:rRNA from 1 species
AGAGUUUGAUCCUGGCUCAGACUCUAAGUCGUAACAAGGUAACCCUGCAAGUCGAGGGGUAGCAGGAUUAAGCUUGCUUAAUUGCUGACGACCGGCGCACGGGUGCGUAACGCGUAUGCAACCUACCUUAUACUGGGGUAUAGCCCGGAGAAAUUCGGAUUAAUCCCCCAUAGUACUAUUUUACUGCAUGGUAGGAUAGUUAAAGCGUCAGCGGUAUAAGAUGGGCAUGCGUCCUAUUAGCUAGAUGGUGAGGUAACGGCUCACCAUGGCUACGAUAGGUAGGGGGCCUGAGAGGGUGGUCCCCCACACUGGUACUGAGACACGGACCAGACUCCUACGGGAGGCAGCAGUGAGGAAUAUUGGUCAAUGGGCGCAAGCCUGAACCAGCCAUGCCGCGUGCAGGAAGAAUGCCCUAUGGGUUGUAAACUGCUUUUAUUUGGGAAUAAACCUCUUUACGUGUAGAGAGCUGAAGGUACCAAAUGAAUAAGCACCGGCUAACUCCGUGCCAGCAGCCGCGGUAAUACGGAGGGUGCAAGCGUUAUCCGGAAUCAUUGGGUUUAAAGGGUCCGCAGGCGGAUUUAUAAGUCAGUGGUGAAAUCCUAUCGCUUAACGAUAGAACUGCCAUUGAUACUGUAAGUCUUGAAUUCGGUCGGAGUGGGCGGAAUGUGUAGUGUAGCGGUGAAAUGCAUAGAUAUUACACAGAACACCGAUAGCGAAGGCAGCUCACUAGGCCUGAAUUGACGCUCAGGGACGAAAGCGUGGGGAUCAAACAGGAUUAGAUACCCUGGUAGUCCACGCUGUAAACGAUGAUUACUCGUUUUCGGCGAUAUACGGUCGGAGACUAAGCGAAAGUGAUAAGUAAUCCACCUGGGGAGUACGAUCGCAAGGUUGAAACUCAAAGGAAUUGACGGGGGCCCGCACAAGCGGUGGAGUAUGUGGUUUAAUUCGAUGCAACGCGAAGAACCUUACCAGGGUUUGACAUGCCACUUUUUUCCUGAAAAGGAAAGUUAGCUUGAACUUUGUUCAAGUAGGGUGGACACAGGUGGUGCAUGGCUGUCGUCAGCUCGUGUCUUGAGAUGUUGGGUUAAGUCCCGCAACGAGCGCAACCCUCGUUCUGUGUUGCCAGCAUUUAGUUGGGGACUCACAGGAGACUGCCGGGGUUAACUCGGAGGAAGGUGGGGAUGACGUCAAAUCAUCAUGCCCCUUAUGUCUUGGGCUGCACGCAUGCUACAAUGGCCGGUACAGAGGGCUGCAAUACCGUAAGGUGGAGCGAAUCCAAAAAAGCCGGUCUCAGUUCGGAUUGAGGUCUGCAACUCGACCUCAUGAAGUUGGAGUUGCUAGUAAUCGUAGAUCAGCAACGCUACGGUGAAUACGUUCCCGGGGCUUGUACACACCGCCCGUCACGUCACGAAAGUCGGUAACACCCAAAGUCAGUGGCCCAACCGCAAGGGGGGAGCUGCCUAAGGUGGGAUCGGUGAUUGGGACGAAGUCGUAACAAGGUAACC